rnacentral:rRNA from 1 species
GAUGAACGCUGGCGGCGUGCUUAACACAUGCAAGUCGAACGGAAAGGCCCAAGCUUGCUUGGGUACUCGAGUGGCGAACGGGUGAGUAACACGUGGGUGAUCUGCCCUGCACUUCGGGAUAAGCCUGGGAGACUGGGUCUAAUACCGGAUAGGACGAUGGUUUGGAUGCCAUUGUGGAAAGUUUUUUCGGUGUGGGAUGAGCUCGCGGCCUAUCAGCUUGUUGGUGGGGUAAUGGCCUACCAAGGCGUCGACGGGUAGCCGGCCUGAGAGGGUGUACGGCCACAUUGGGACUGAGAUACGGCGCAGACUCCUACGGGAGGCAGCAGUGGGGAAUAUUGCACAAUGGGCGCAAGCCUGAUGCAGCGACGCCGCGUGGGGGAUGACGGCCUUCGGGUUGUAAACUACAUGCGCUAGGGACGAAGCGUUUUUGUGACGGUACCUGGAGAAGAAGCACCGGCUAACUACGUG